AGUGAACGCUGGCGGUAGGCCUAACACAUGCAAGUCGAACGGCAGCACAGUAAGAGCUUGCUCUUACGGGUGGCGAGUGGCGGACGGGUGAGGAAUACAUCGGAAUCUACUUUUUCGUGGGGGAGAACGUAGGGAAACUUACGCUAAUACCGCAUACGACCUACGGGUGAAAGCAGGGGAUCUUCGGACCUUGCGCGAUUGAAUGAGCCGAUGUCGGAUUAGCUAGUUGGCGGGGUAAAGGCCCACCAAGGCGACGAUCCGUAGCUGGUCUGAGAGGAUGAUCAGCCACACUGGAACUGAGACACGGUCCAGACUCCUACGGGAGGCAGCAGUGGGGAAUAUUGGACAAUGGGCGAAAGCCUGAUCCAGCCAUACCGCGUGGGUGAAGAAGGCCUUCGGGUUGUAAAGCCCUUUUGUUGGGAAAGAAAAGCAGCAGGUUAAUACCCCGCUGUUCUGGCGGUACCCAAAGAAUAAGCACCGGCUAACUUCGUG
rnacentral:rRNA from 1 species